rnacentral:lncRNA from 1 species
AUUGGCAGCCUGCCAAGAUUCUGAGCAGUUAGCCCCUCCCAACUGAUUGACCAAACCUACUCCCAACUGGUUUCAAACUUCCCUGCGGGCUACAACUGACAACCUGGACAUAAAUAGAUGAGGUCUGACAAAAAGGCAUCAAUAAAUUUGGACAAUGCAGUAGUACCUAGGAAAGAAGACAAAAGUAGAAUGACUUGGGCAAUCAGAACAUUGCAGCCACAAUGGGAUCAUCUUCAAAGGAAGGAGGAUUUAUCCUGA